CUUCGCCGUGAGGCGAUUUGUAAUCUCGCACUUUUCGGAAAUGUUUACACUCCUGUCGGCAUAUCAAAAUAACACGAACACGCGACGAUAAAAAAUAUUCAUAUUUAUAUUUUCCGUUAAAAUUGAAAAGAAACUUGAAUAUCGUGCUAUACAUCUCUAAUUGGUCGAUUCAUCAUUAAUUUCUUUUUCGAUUACUGGAACUCGAAUAACAAAAGUAAUGUCAACAAAAAAUAUAUGAAUAACUUUUAAAUAUGAUCGCACGCGCGUCCAUACAUUUAGAAUUGAAAUAAAAUUGAUAAAUCAAAUCAAAUUCAGAAACAUCGUGCAUAGAAUAUCAAAUUCAGGAUUGAUAUUAUUGCUUUGAAAAUAUUGGCUACAAAAUAUUCUAUUACAUAGAUAUUAUUUAUAUUGAAAAACGCAGCUGUUACUUUUUGUUGCCAUUUAAUUCGCGAAAUUGUAUAUAUUUUCUACACAUUCGAUAUUUUUUCACGCUUUUGUCGGAACUUUUCUCGCGCGCUCGUUGCCCGUUCUCCGGAAUUGCAUACAUAUACCUCGAGCGAUUGUCGGGACUCGUUUUUCGUCCCAUGAAAUAGAAAAAAAGAGAAAGCAAAUAAAGAGUAACAGCAAAGAGAGAAUAAUAAAAGAACGAAAUAACAGGAAUAGCAGGAAAACGGAAAGAAAAGUAGAUGGAAAAAAAAAAAAAACGUUGGUGGCAGCAAAUAACACGUACGGAUAUUGUGGUAUCCGAGGCUUCUCCUCGGUUCUCCCCUUAACUUUCUUUCGUUGUUAUUUUUUUUUUACCCUUCGUCCAAGACGCGCGAGACGUCGAUCGUCUCCGCGCUCGCACGCAGCAUCACCGGGGCAUCUCCGGGGGCUCGCGAACCGCAGGCUGUGUGAACCCUGGUUGGCAAACGAGCAAGCAAGAGGGUGGUGGGCUUAAGCGCUCUCUCCUUCCGGCCGAAUUAUACACGCCUACGCGUCUAACAUCCGUAAACUACCGCUUGGCGUGCGACUAUACUACUCUUUCGAGUCCACCCGAGUAACAACACCCCCACUACUUCUUCCUCGUGUGUCGGUUCGAUUCACUAAUCACUAAUAACCACUACUACCCCUCGGCUUGUUGUUGUGUUGAGGCUCUCGCAACCUUAUCAACUGGCGAUCGCAAACGCCUGCAGGCUAUCGCGGUUUCAAGGGUGAGAGCGGUGUGACAUUGGCGAGAGGUGUUCUCGGCAUUCCGGGUCCGAAGGGUGAGCCCGGCGAACGGGGUUACCAAGGCGAAAAGGGCGGCAAGGGAGACGCGGGUUC